GUUUGAUCAUGGCUCAGGAUGAACGCUGGCGGCGUGCCUAAUACAUGCAAGUCGAGCGAACGGACGAGAAGCUUGCUUCUCUGAUGUUAGCGGCGGACGGGUGAGUAACACGUGGAUAACCUACCUAUAAGACUGGGAUAACUUCGGGAAACCGGAGCUAAUACCGGAUAAUAUUUUGAACCGCAUGGUUCAAAAGUGAAAGACGGUCUUGCUGUCACUUAUAGAUGGAUCCGCGCUGCAUUAGCUAGUUGGUAAGGUAACGGCUUACCAAGGCAACGAUGCAUAGCCGACCUGAGAGGGUGAUCGGCCACACUGGAACUGAGACACGGUCCAGACUCCUACGGGAGGCAGCAGUAGGGAAUCUUCCGCAAUGGGCGAAAGCCUGACGGAGCAACGCCGCGUGAGUGAUGAAGGUCUUCGGAUCGUAAAACUCUGUUAUUAGGGAAGAACAUAUGUGUAAGUAACUGUGCACAUCUUGACGGUACCUAAUCAGAAAGCCACGGCUAACUACGUGCCAGCAGCCGCGGUAAUACGUAGGUGGCAAGCGUUAUCCGGAAUUAUUGGGCGUAAAGCGCGCGUAGGCGGUUUUUUAAGUCUGAUGUGAAAGCCCACGGCUCAACCGUGGAGGGUCAUUGGAAACUGGAAAACUUGAGUGCAGAAGAGGAAAGUGGAAUUCCAUGUGUAGCGGUGAAAUGCGCAGAGAUAUGGAGGAACACCAGUGGCGAAGGCGACUUCUGGUCUGUAACUGACGCUGAUGUGCGAAAGCGUGGGGAUCAAACAGGAUUAGAUACCNUGGUAGUCCACGCCGUAAACGAUGAGUGCUAAGUGUUAGGGGGUUUCCGCCCCUUAGUGCUGCAGCUAACGCAUUAAGCACUCCGCCUGGGGAGUACGACCGCAAGGUUGAAACUCAAAGGAAUUGACGGGGACCCGCACAAGCGGUGGAGCAUGUGGUUUAAUUCGAAGCAACGCGAAGAACCUUACCAAAUCUUGACAUCCUUUGACAACUCUAGAGAUAGAGCCUUCCCCUUCGGGGGACAAAGUGACAGGUGGUGCAUGGUUGUCGUCAGCUCGUGUCGUGAGAUGUUGGGUUAAGUCCCGCAACGAGCGCAACCCUUAAGCUUAGUUGCCAUCAUUAAGUUGGGCACUCUAAGUUGACUGCCGGUGACAAACCGGAGGAAGGUGGGGAUGACGUCAAAUCAUCAUGCCCCUUAUGAUUUGGGCUACACACGUGCUACAAUGGACAAUACAAAGGGCAGCGAAACCGCGAGGUCAAGCAAAUCCCAUAAAGUUGUUCUCAGUUCGGAUUGUAGUCUGCAACUCGACUACAUGAAGCUGGAAUCGCUAGUAAUCGUAGAUCAGCAUGCUACGGUGAAUACGUUCCCGGGUCUUGUACACACCGCCCGUCACACCACGAGAGUUUGUAACACCCGAAGCCGGUGGAGUAACCUUUUAGGAGCUAGCCGUCGAAGGUGGGACAAAUGAUUGGGGUGAAGUCGUAACAAGGUAGCC
rnacentral:rRNA from 1 species